UGUCAUUCUCUCAUCUACCUCUAACAGCACACAAUUUGACUUUGCUUUUCAUUUCUAAGAGCCAAGAAUUAUCAAAACAUACAAACACAACAAGGGCUUUAUUUGAUGGUCUGACAAGGCAAAGAAGGAAAUUGGUGUAUCAAGGUAAUGUGAAGAAGCAAAGAGAGCAAUCACAUCAUUUUUACAGUUUUAUCAUUAUACUCUCUUUUGUCUGAAAACUAGAACAACCAAACACCCACUUGAAGUCACCUUAUUCAUAUAUUUUCUUUUUUUCUUUUUUUUUAUUUUCUUUUUCUUUUUCUUUUAUAGAUGACAUAUAUACAAGAAUGCAUCUCAUCAACCAACACCAAUUCACCAUUGUUACUCAUGCUCCUUUUUUAAUAAUAACUUCCCCCACACUUGAAUCAUACUACUGACCAUGGAAACCUUACUCUCCCAUCAAGGUGAGAAUGUCAAUCAUAUUCAACAANNCUUAAGGUUUCAAAAGUGAAGG
rnacentral:lncRNA from 1 species